GGCAAGGAGACUUAAACCUAUAAAUAGAAUCACUUCAAAGAGGUUGGUUAUGCAAUUAUUCGCUCUCAAAACUUUGACAUUUGUAGCUCUCAUAGUUAAGUUCCCUUUUCCAUUCACUGACUCGAGUAUCGGUGUGUUUUUUGGGUCAACCCCAGCCUGAGGACUGUAACGAUGUCUUAUUCUGUUCGCAGACGAAAUGGAGUAUUCUGUUCGCUAGGUGAGAAGACGAAGUGAAGAAAACCAUACUAUUGGUGCCCGCAAGGCCAUUCCAUUUUAUAUAUUUUUCCAAUAUUUGGGACUAUUUCUCUUAAAUUAUUGCUCUUAUGGUUUUAAAUAGUGAGAAAAGACAAAGUGGAGUGACAGGAGGGUGAUGGUGAAAGAUGUGGCCUUUUUGUGUUAUCAUUGAUCUCUUUAUUGUAAGAAAGAGUUGUGUACGGUUUUAAAGCAAACUCUUUAUUCAUCAUAUUAGAUCC
rnacentral:lncRNA from 1 species